AUGAACGCUGGCGGCGUGCCUAAUACAUGCAAGUCGAGCGAACAGACGAGGAGCUUGCUCCUCUGACGUUAGCGGCGGACGGGUGAGUAACACGUGGAUAACCUACCUAUAAGACUGGGAUAACUUCGGGAAACCGGAGCUAAUACCGGAUAAUAUAUUGAACCGCAUGGUUCAAUAGUGAAAGACGGUUUUGCUGUCACUUAUAGAUGGAUCCGCGCCGCAUUAGCUAGUUGGUAAGGUAACGGCUUACCAAGGCAACGAUGCGUAGCCGACCUGAGAGGGUGAUCGGCCACACUGGAACUUGGACACGGUCCAGACUCCUACGGGAGGCAGCAGUAGGGAAUCUUCCGCAAUGGGCGAAAGCCUGACGGAGCAACGCCGCGUGAGUGAUGAAGGUCUUCGGAUCGUAAAACUCUGUUAUUAGGGAAGAACAAAUGUGUAAGUAACUAUGCACGUCUUGACGGUACCUAAUCAGAAAGCCACGGCUAACUACGUG
rnacentral:rRNA from 1 species